UUUUCUGGGAUUUUUCACAUGUGUAGGUUAUUUUUUGAAAAUUGAAAGAAGUUUUACGAUUUUUAUUUCAAUUUGAACAAAUUUUGAUGUUUUCUCCUUUUUAUUUGAGAUGCAGAUAACUGAUUGGUUUUUUUUGUUCUAUUAAUAUAUAUAUAUAUAUAUAUAUAUAUAUAUAUAUAUAUAGACA
rnacentral:snRNA from 1 species